rnacentral:rRNA from 1 species
GACGAACGCUGGCGGCGCGCUUAACACAUGCCAGUCGAACGGAAAGGCCUGCUUUCCCUUGUGGAUUGCGGGUACUCGAGUGGCGAACGGGUGAGUAACACGUGAGUGAUCUGCCCCCAACUUGGGUAUAAGCCUGGGAAACUGGGUCUAAUUCCCGAUAGGACUGCAGGGUGGUGCCUGUGGUGGAAAACGAUUUUCUAGUGGUUGGGGAUGAGCUCGCGGCCUAUCAGCUUGUUGGUGGGGUAAUGGCCUACCAAGGCGGCGACGGGUAGCCGGCCUGAGAGGGUGGACGGCCACAUUGGGACUGAGAUACGGCCCAGACUCCUACGGGAGGCAGCAGUGGGGAAUAGUGCACAAUGGGCGGAAGCCUGAUGCAGCGACGCCGCGUGGGGGAUGACGGCCUUCGGGUUGUAAACUCCUUUCGACCGCGAGGAAGCCACCUGGUUGGAAGGGUGGUGACGGUAGUGGUAGAAGAAGCACCGGCUAACUACGUG